UACGUAGGGUCCGAGCGUUAUCCGGUAUUAUUGGGCGUAAAGCGUGCGUAGGCGGCCUUGUAAGACACUGGUUAAAUCCCCGGGCUCAACCCGGAAACCGCCAGUGUGACUGCUCGGCUAGUCGAUAGCAGGGGCAAGCAGAAUUCCCGGUGUAGGAGUGAAAUCCGUUGAGAUCGGGAGGAAUACCAAUGGCGAAGGCAGCUUGCUAGGCUAUAUGAGACGCUAAGGCACGAAAGCGUGGGGAGCGAACGGG
rnacentral:misc_RNA from 1 species